GACAGAGGUGCCAAGCGUUAGGCGGAAUCACUAGGCUUAAAGCGUGUGUAGGCGGAUUUGUAAGUACCUUGUGAAAUCCCACGGCUCAACCGUGGAACUGCUCGGUAUACUGCUUAUCUUGAGCCACUUAGGGGCUACCGGAACAAAUGGUGGAGCGGUGAAAUGCGUAGAUAUCAUUUGGAACGCCAAUGGUGAAAACAGGUAGCUGGGAGUGUGCUGACGCUGAGACACGAAAGCCAGGGGAGCGAACGGG
rnacentral:rRNA from 1 species